UCCGGCUUGACGCCGGCAGUCCCCCGAGAGUCCUCAGCUUUACCUGCUAGCAACACGGGGCAAGGGUUGCGCUCGUUGCGGGACUUAACCCAACACCUCACGGCACGAGCUGACGACAGCCAUGCAGCACCUGUGCGGGCUCCCGAAGGAGCGCCGUGUUUCCACGGUUUCACCCCGCAUGUCAAGCCCUGGUAAGGUUCUUCGCGUUGCGUCGAAUUAAGCCACAUGCUCCGCCGCUUGUGCGGGCCCCCGUCAAUUCAUUUGAGUUUUAACCUUGCGGCCGCACUCCCCAGGCGGUCGACUUAUCGCGUUAACUGCGCCACAAAGUCCGCGAGGGACCCAAUGGCUAGUCGACAUCGUUUACGGCGUGGACUAC
rnacentral:misc_RNA from 1 species